CCUACGGGAGGCUGCAGUGGGGAAUAUUGGACAAUGGGCGAAAGCCUGAUCCAGCCAUGCCGCGUGUGUGAAGAAGGCCUUCGGGUUGUAAAGCACUUUCAGUGGGGAAGAAAGCCUUGGGGCUAAUACCCUCGAGGAAGGACAUCACCCACAGAAGAAGCACCGGCUAACUCCGUGCCAGCAGCCGCGGUAAUACGGAGGGUGCGAGCGUUAAUCGGAAUUACUGGGCGUAAAGCGCGCGUAGGCGGUCUGAUAAGCCGGUUGUGAAAGCCCCGGGCUCAACCUGGGAACGGCAUCCGGAACUGUCAGGCUAGAGUGCAGGAGAGGAAGGUAGAAUUCCCGGUGUAGCGGUGAAAUGCGUAGAGAUCGGGAGGAGUACCAGUGGCGAAGGCGGCCUUCUGGACUGACACUGACGCUGAGGUGCGAAAGCGUGGGUAGCAAACAGGAUUAGAUACCCUUGUAGUC
rnacentral:rRNA from 1 species